rnacentral:misc_RNA from 1 species
UCGAGAUCGAACCUCUGGGAGGGGGAGGGCUUCCCCGAACCCUUUCGAGGCUUCAGCCCUCUAACACCUGUGUGCACCCGCUGUAGGUCCUUAGGGACCUAUGUCUUCUUCGAACUCGCAUGUCUACAGAACGUCGUCCGUGACCUCGGUCACAGGAAACCUAAUA